rnacentral:rRNA from 1 species
GGGUCAGUAGGUUGGUCGUGCCACCGGUACGUACUGGUCUCACUGAUUCCUCCUUCCUGAAGAACCGUAAUGCCAUUAAUUUGGUGUUGCGGGGAAACAGGACUGUUGCUUUGAAAAAAUUAGAGUGUUUAAAGCAAGCUAACGCUUGAAUACAUUAGCAUGGAGUAAUGAAAUAGGACGAUCGAUCCUAUUUUGUUGGUUUCUAGGAUUGACGUA